rnacentral:tmRNA from 1 species
GGGGGCGUAAUGGGUUCGACGAGGAAUAGAAGUUUAGGUAAGCGGGUAGCAAGGUGGAACUGCUUUAAAAGUCACACUUAAUUUAAACGGAAAAACUAUUUAUGGCGACAAGCCAAACAACAGCGAAAGCAACGUAAUUCAUGCCAACUUCGGAAGGAUGGCUGCUGUAGCUGCUUAAUUAGCCUUAAUAUUUAGGCGACAUCUUCUGGCGGACUACCGCGACCGGCUUAAGGUGCUAACAUAGCGGUGAACGUGAAUCAUUGAUUUUCUCGGCUUUGAUCAUGCAACAGAGAAUACUUAUUUUUCAUGGAUUCUAGUGAACUUGUUAAAUGAGGAAAUUUUAAUCGCUAGAUACACUCGUAGAAAGCUUAAAUGGACUAUUUUUCGGACAGGGGUUCAAUUCCCCUCGCCUCCACCA